GGGCGGAUGGUCUAGAACUUGGUAUGAUUCCUGGUUCGGGUCCAGGAGGUCACCAGUUCGAAUCUGGUUCCGCCCACCA
rnacentral:tRNA from 1 species